GAGAGAUGCCCCGCUGUGCCCCCGAUGAAACGCAGCUAAAGCCCGAUUUACGCUACAAUUGUAAUUGAGGAUAAAGGAGAGGCGAGGGAUCGUGGUUGUUUGACACGGUUGCAGCUUCGAAAGAGAAGAAACAUAUACAUGAUCCAUCGGUCUUGUGUCGAGAAUGUCGAGCUUUGAGACGCUGAUCGGGCAAAGUUUGAAGAGGAUACGUUUCACGAGGCUACGAUUUCUGAGCCGCCAACCACGUCACACGUCGUUUAUAUUAUAAUUAUUCUUUAUCCAUAUUAUCAACGAUAGACUUCCGUUCGAAAAAGAAAAAAAAAAGGAAAAAAACAGUUUUGUAAAUUUAUUAUAUAAAUUAUAAAUUGUAGUUGUUUGCGUCAUUGUGACGAUAUAUUAAAUUAGUUACUCUUAUGA